GAUCAUGGCUCAGGAUGAACGCUAGCUACAGGCUUAACACAUGCAAGUCGAGGGGCAGCAUGAACUUAGCUUGCUAAGUUUGAUGGCGACCGGCGCACGGGUGAGUAACACGUAUCCAACCUUCCGUUUACUCAGGGAUAGCCUUUCGAAAGAAAGAUUAAUACCCUGAUAGUAUGGUGAGAUUGCAUGAUAGCACCAUUAAAGAUUUAUUGGUAAACGAUGGGGAUGCGUUCCAUUAGGUAGUAGGCGGGGUAACGGCCCACCUAGCCGACGAUGGAUAGGGGUUCCUGAGAGGAAGGUCCCCCACAUUGGAACUGAGACACGGUCCAAACUCCUACGGGAGGCAGCAGUGAGGAAUAUUGGUCAAUGGGCGAGAGCCUGAACCAGCCAAGUAGCGUGAAGGAUGAAGGUCCUACGGAUUGUAAACUUCUUUAUACGGGAAUAAAGUAUCCUACGUGUAGGAUUUGUAUGUACCGUAUGAAUAAGCAUCGGCUAACUCCGUG
rnacentral:rRNA from 1 species